AAUUUCCUUUCCUCUCAUUUCAGUUCCACCACACGUCCUGUGACCACCCGGUAGAUAGGAUAGAGGUGAUUCCUUUCCUCUCAUUUCAGUUCCACCACACGUCCUGUGACCACCCGGUAGAUAGGAUAGAGGUGAUUCCUUUCCUCUCAUUUCAGUUCCACCACACGUCCUGUGACCACCCGGUAGAUAGGAUAGAGGUGAUUCCUUUCCUCUCAUUUCAGUUCCACCACACGUCCUGUGACCACCCGGUAGAUAGGAUAGAGGUGAUUCCUUUCCUCUCAUUUCAGUUCCACCACACGUCCUGUGACCACCCGGUAGAUAGGAUAGAGGUGAUUCCUUUCCUCUCAUUUCAGUUCCACCACACGUCCUGUGACCACCCGGUAGAUAGGAUAGAGGUGAUUCCAUGGGCUUGGUGUGCUUUGUAACAUAUGAUCAUAUAGCAUGGGAAUCAGAGGAAUGCUUGGCUGUGACUAAUGUCACCAUGUAGCCUAGGAGGGGUGUCUAAGGCACUGCAUCUCAGUGCAAGAGGUGUCACUACAGACAGCCUGGUUCGAAUCCAGGCUGUAUCACAACAGGCCGUGAUUGGGAGUCCCAUAGGGCGGCGCACAAUUGGCCCAGCGUCGUCUGGGUUUGGGCGGUGUAGGCCAUCAUUGUAAAUAAGAAUUUGUUCUUAACCGACAUGCCUAGUUAAAUAAAAAAAUACAUGAAGAAAAAAAAUCACGUUGUGCCAGGCUUUUUUAAAUUGAUUUUUUACACGACUAUAGUGGGUUGAGUCACUGAUGUGAUCUUCCUGUCCAGUUUUACACCCCCUCGGGCUCGUGUAGUGGAGGAGAUCUUUGUGGGCUAUACUCAGCCUUGUCUCAGGGUAGUAAGUGGGAUCUCCCUCUGAUGGCGUUGGGGCUGUGCUUUGGUUGGUCCUGUCCGGGAGGGUAUCGUUGGACAGGGCCACAGUGUCCCCCGACCUUCCCAGGCUCAGUCUCCAGUAUCUAUUGUAAAAUGAGUCUGUGCCGGGGAGCGUAGGCGAGUCCUAUCUGAUCUAAUAAAUCUGUGCUCCAGAUCCAGUUUCUGCUGUUCUGCCUGCAGCUAUGGAAGCCUGACCUGUUCAGCGGUCUUUGUCUCGGUCCUGCUGUUUCCACACUGUCUCGACCUCUGAACGCUCAGCUAUGAAAAGCCAACUGACAUUUACUCCUGAGGCCAACGUUGACCUUUUGCACCCUCUAUAAGCACUGUGAUUAUUGUUUGACCCUGCUGGUCAUCUAUGAACAUCUUGAAGAACGAUCUGGGCAUAAUGGCCAUGUCCUGUUAAAAUCUUCACCGGGCACAGCCAGAAGAAGAGGACUGGCCACCUUUCACAGCCUGGUUCCUCUAUGUUUCUUCCUAGGUUCUGGCCUUUCUAGUGAGUUUUUCCCCCUAGCCACCGUGCUUCUACAUCUGCUUUGCUUGCUCUUUAGGGUUUUAGGCUGGGUUUCUGUAUAAGCACUUUGUGACAUCGGCUGAUGUAAAAAUGACUGUAUAAAUAAAUGUGAUUGGUUGAAAGCCUACAGUAGAGUGAAAGAGGAUGGGAGGGACUAGCUAAAUUAGGUAAACAGUCCCUUCCACAAAGACCAGGCAAUAAGUCAGUCAGUGGACCUUUCAAAUGCAGUUUAAUUGUCAGGAAUAAACAGCAUAUGAAACAUUCAGCAAAACAGAAAUAGGCUAUAAUUUCCUGUGGUCACUACUGGAAUAUACUCCUUCAGUCCUACACCACAAAUUGUAAAGGGCAAUGGGUCUAAAUGUACAUUACCAUACGAGGUCACAGUGACAGAACUCAAUGUGUAACACAUUUAGCUAAUGAAUCCUGGCAGACAAAGUUCAGUUGUUACGACUGCAGAGACCAAAGUACAGCAAGUAUCACCUAAUCAAAUAAGAUAUUUUCAAGAGCUUCCUGAUAGAUAAUUCAACCGACUCUUUACAUCAAUGAACAAGCUAACAGAUGGAUACGCAGAACUAUAACAAAAUGAUUCAACAUUUGAUCCUAAACAUUUUUGGCUGGUACGAGCGAGGCUACAUUUAUCAGGUCUAACCUCUGCAAUGCCCUUGUGAUAAUUGUCUCAAUAUCUGAUCUGAAGAGAGAAAUACAUCCUGCCGGCCUAGUACAAGAACACAGCUGACAUCUCACGCUCUCUCUCUAUAUAUACUGAUUGGCUCAAAAACUGUAAAUAAAUGAAUACAUUUAAAAAGACAAAAAAGAAAAAUGUCCCUAAUCAACUCGUACAGUAGACUAGAUGGGUUACUAGCAGACACAAAUAGAGAAUGUUAUGUUGGUUAUUCACGGAUCAAGCUUGUUUAUCACUCCCUCUCUCUGUGUUU